GGAAUCUUCCACAAUGGACGCAAGUCUGAUGGAGCAACGCCGCGUGAGUGAAGAAGGUCUUCGGAUCGUAAAGCUCUGUUGUUGGUGAAGAAGGAUAGAGGCAGUAACUGGUCUUUAUUUGACGGUAAUCAACCAGAAAGUCACGGCUAACUACGUGCCAGCAGCCGCGGUAAUACGUAGGUGGCAAGCGUUGUCCGGAUUUAUUGGGCGUAAAGCGAGCGCAGGCGGAAUGAUAAGUCUGAUGUGAAAGCCCACGGCUCAACCGUGGAACUGCAUCGGAAACUGUCAUUCUUGAGUGCAGAAGAGGAGNU
rnacentral:rRNA from 1 species